GGGUUCGUAGUCUAGCUUGGUAGGAUUCGAGGUUCGGGUAACCUUUUCUUGGGAAGAAAAACUUAACCAAAAGAAGGAAAGAAAAACCUCGUGGCCGGAGUUCAAAUCUCCGCGAACCCA
rnacentral:tRNA from 1 species